GAUGAACGCUGGCGGCGUGCUUAACACAUGCAAGUCGAACGGUCUCUUCGGAGAUAGUGGCGGACGGGUGAGUAACGCGUGAGGAUCUGCCCUUAGGAGGGGGACAACAGUUGGAAACGACUGCUAAUACCCCAUAUGCUGAGAGGUGAAACGGUUUUUCCGCCUGAGGAUGAACUCGCGUCUGAUUAGCUAGUUGGUGAGGUAAGGGCUCACCAAGGCGGCGAUCAGUAGCUGGUCUAAGAGGAUGAUCAGCCACACUGGGACUGAGACACGGCCCAGACUCCUACGGGAGGCAGCAGUGGGGAAUUUUCCGCAAUGGGCGCAAGCCUGACGGAGCAACGCCGCGUGGGGGAGGAAGGUUUUUGGACUGUAAACCCCUUUUCUCAGGGAAGAAGAAAGUGACGGUACCUGAGGAAUAAGCCUCGGCUAAUUCCGUGCCAGCAGCCGCGGUAAUACGGGAGAGGCAAGCGUUAUCCGGAAUUAUUGGGCGUAAAGCGUCCGCAGGCGGUUAAUCAAGUCUGUUGUCAAAGCGUGGGGCUCAACCUCAUACAGGCAAUGGAAACUGAUUGACUAGAGUAUGGUAGGGGUAGCGGGAAUUCCAGGUGUAGCGGUGAAAUGCGUAGAUAUCGGGAAGAACACCAGUGGCGAAGGCGCUCUACUGGGCCACAACUGACGCUGAGGGACGAAAGCUAGGGGAGCGAAAGGGAUUAGAUACCCCUGUAGUCCUAGCUGUAAACGAUGGAUACUAGGUGUUGGACGUAUCGACCCGUGCAGUACCGUAGCUAACGCGUUAAGUAUCCCGCCUGGGGAGUACGCACGCAAGUGUGAAACUCAAAGGAAUUGACGGGGGCCCGCACAAGCGGUGGAGGAUGUGGUUUAAUUCGAUGCAACGCGAAGAACCUUACCAAGGCUUGACAUCCUGCGAACCUCUCUGAAAGGAGAGGGUGCCUUCGGGAACGCAGAGACAGGUGGUGCAUGGCUGUCGUCAGCUCGUGUCGUGAGAUGUUGGGUUAAGUCCCGCAACGAGCGCAACCCUCGUCCUUAGUUGCCAGCAUUGAGUUGGGCACUCUGGGGAGACUGCCGGGGACAACUCGGAGGAAGGUGGGGACGACGUCAAGUCAUCAUGCCCCUUACGUCUUGGGCUACACACGUCCUACAAUGCUACAGACAGAGGGCAGCGAGACCGCGAGGUUAAGCAAAUCCCAUAAACUGUGGCUCAGUUCAGAUUGCAGGCUGCAACUCGCCUGCAUGAAGGCGGAAUCGCUAGUAAUCGCAGGUCAGCAUACUGCGGUGAAUACGUUCCCGGGCCUUGUACACACCGCCCGUCACACCAUGGGAGUUGGCCACGCCCGAAGUCGUUACUCUAACCGUUCGCUGAGGAGGGCGCCGAAGGCAGGGCUGAUGACUGGGGUGAA
rnacentral:rRNA from 1 species